rnacentral:rRNA from 1 species
UAGGGAAUCUUCCGCAAUGGACGAAAGUCUGACGGAGCAACGCCGCGUGAGUGAAGAAGGUUUUCGGAUCGUAAAACUCUGUUGUUAGGGAAGAACACGUACAAGAGUAACUGCUUGUACCUUGACGGUACCUAACCAGAAAGCCACGGCUAACUACGUGCCAGCAGCCGCGGUAAUACGUAGGUGGCAAGCGUUGUCCGGAAUUAUUGGGCGUAAAGCGCGCGCAGGUGGUUCCUUAAGUCUGAUGUGAAAGCCCCCGGCUCAACCGGGGAGGGUCAUUGGAAACUGGGGAACUUGAGUGCAGGAGAGGAAAGUGGAAUUCCACGUGUAGCGGUGAAAUGCGUAGAUAUGUGGAGGAACACCAGUGGCGAAGGCGACUUUCUGGCCUGUAACUGACACU